UGGGCAACCUGCCCUCAGCUCUGGGAUAACCCCGGGAAACCGGGGCUAAUACCGGAUACGACCUUCUCUGGCAUCAGGGGUGGUGGAAAGUUCUUCGGCUGAGGAUGGGCCCGCGGCCUAUCAGCUUGUUGGUGGGGUCACGGCCCACCAAGGCGGCGACGGGUAGCCGGCCUGAGAGGGCGACCGGCCACACUGGGACUGAGACACGGCCCAGACUCCUACGGGAGGCA
rnacentral:rRNA from 1 species